UAAUUUUGAAAGGAAAGUAAAAACCUAAAAAUCUAAACUUUUCUUCUUCCCUACUAAAAAAGCAGCCGCCAGGGAGACCCCCCCCUCUUUUGGGAAAUUUUUUCCUUCUUCUCCGAUAACAGCUGGAACCUCCCCCUUCGGAUUUUGCUUCUCCCCGGCUUGUUGCUUCCCCAAAACAGCAGCAACAUUGACAAACCAAAGAGCCCCGCUAGUUUUCAUUUUUGGGCUCCCUAAGCCGCUCCCCAGUUUUAAUUUUCUUCCUCCCCAGCCCUUGCACAGCCACCUGCACACAGAGCCGCUCUCACUUCUCCUCCAAAAAAAAGGCUACGGCGAAUCCCCCUUUGCCUUGACAAAGCAAGUCAAGCCAUCACCAUUUCCACAUUUUCUCUCAUCUUCAAAGCCGAAACCAGAGAAGCCAAGGCAGCCCUCUUCCCGUCUCCUUAGUCUUCCUCUCGGCUAAAAAGCCAAAAUCAGCUGAAACCCCACACAUCCAUCUCCUUUCCUGCGAACCAACCUCCCUUUACUUCCCCAUCAUCUCUCCAUCAACGCCGGUUUCCACCAGCUGAUCUUCCCUCUUCAACCGCAGGCGCCAUCGCUUAUUUGCCCUCUGAUCGGACAGCCUCCAGCUCCCCUUGGCCACCACAGCCAUGAAAUCGCAGGAGCUCCCCAUUCCAGCUUCCCACCGACACCCCUGAAAGCAUCGGCCAGCAGGUUUUUCCUUCCUCAGCCGCCGUGCACACUAGCCAGCAGCCGUCCUUCUUCCUCCAGCGGUGCCCACAGUCGCUCCCCAUGCCUCUAGCAGCGACGCCCCUCUGGUUCGGGUCCUCUUCCUUGCCGGCGAUUUGAAACGGAGAAGAAAGAGAAGCCCAAACAACCGGAUCUGUGGGAUGCAGAUAUGAAAAAACCGAGAAGAAAAGGGGACAGCUUGCUGUUGUGUUUUGUUCUUUUUGCAGGUGAUAGUGGUUAUCAUUACCGGUGCAGGGAGACGACGCUGAGCAGAUCCACCCCGUCUCCUGUUUCUGCUUGCGGCGGCGCGUGAACCCACGCGCCGCCACUGUUCAGCAGUUCCGGCAGUGUCCUUCAAUGCAAUUUCUGGACUUUUAGGGACUGUUUUUGUAAAAUUUAAAUUAAUUAAUGUAAUUUGUAUUUAUUUGUUUUGAAUUUAUUUUGUGUAAAUGUGAAUGUAAAAGAAAAGAAAAAAAGAAAUAAUAAUAAAAAAGAGAUGUGUGUGUUUGUAUUUUUUUUAUGUAAUUGAAUAAAAAAAAUGCAUGUGUACAUUUGUUUAAUGAAAUUUUUUUUUCUCUUUGAUGAGACAGCAGAUAAUAAAGAAGGAUUUAAUAUUUUGAUUGGAUCACGGUGUAGAAGUACAAACUUGUACGGAAGUUGUAUUUCUAAAAUCCGAUGAAAAAACAAAAUUUUUAAAACUUCUUUAACACAUCAAGUCCACGGAGCAGCUUACCUCAGGUAGGGUGUGUUAGGGGUGCUAACACCUUCCCUAACCACAAUCAGUCCCUUACCCGCGAAUCUCUGACCAUGACCAGUCCACCAGGGUUUCCUAGUAACCUCAAUUAAAUACUAGGUGGCGACUCCUAACAAACCAAUUCAAGCAAUACAACAACGAGACAUAAAUCGCCAGCCGAUUGCACGCGCGUGGAUUUUUCGACGUGCGACAGAAUGGCGACUCCACUGGGGAGGUAUUGUUUCUGAUAAUUUUGGACUAAGCUUUGUGUACUUGAUGUGUUUAAUUUUUGCCAUUUUUGUCUUGCUUUAUUUUAUGCAUGCAUUUUUAGAAUUGUUUCAUGCAUCACUUGUAUUUAUUUUUGAAAGCACACACAAGCUUUCUAUGUUAGGUGGGGAGUAGCAGUCUACCUCAUGACUUUCAGUCGGGGUUCAGAUUUGUGAAACAUCCAACUAUGAGCUGAGUGUUUACUCGGUAAUGGCGGUCACAUGGUGCCCCAACCAUUCCUUGUAAACCCCUAUACUGCCUUCACGUGAGGUGGUCACUGGGCAGUUCAUAGACCCUUUUGAGACCAGGUAGAAAACCUACCCAUGUUCACACAAUGACUAGAACCUAUCCUUAGGUUGUAUGUGCUAUCAUUUAUUUGCAUCGGGGUGAACCCUUCUUGAAGCAUCUUGAACUCAAGAUUUUUGGGUGACACAAUGGCCGUCACUCCGAAAAUUUUCAUUGUAGAGUUUGGGCAAAAAUCAUGAUUUUUGUUCCAUCAUACAUGAGUUACGACCAUGUUGUCACCCCUCGAAGGGCGAGUUCAUCAUAUAGACUUCAUGUUCAUACAUUUGUCAUGCAUGCACCAGAAUAAAAAGUAGGUCCCCUUCGAGUCUACAACACCUGAUUUUGAGAGAAACAUUGGAGACGAAGAGCGUGCUCAUCGCAGAAUCCAUUUCCAAGAAGAGUUAGAGUCUCUGAAAGCAAGUGUGGCUUGCCUCACUAGCUUACUUGAGCAAACACUUAGAAAUGCCUCUAGUGAAGGUCCUUCCAAUUGGCCAGUCAUUUUUGUUCGCAGCCCCAACAAAGACUCAACAUGAAGAAAUUGGGGGCCCACAUGAUCAAGAGCCUCAACACAAUUUGAAGGUGAAUUGCAUCAUCGUUGUAGAAUGGAGCCUGUUCUUGCUCUGCCAAAAUAACUACCUCAGUUUGAUCAUGCCUCCAAAAACUUGAUUUUUUGUUUCAACCUAUUCUAGUUUUUGUUGGUAAUUUGGCUCAAAAUUCCACAAGACUUUCCCUGUUCACUAAGCCUUUAUCAUGUGUUUUGUUGUGUUCAUCACAUGCCAUCAUUUUUGUUGUUUCAUGCAAAUAACACAUUGAGCGUAACCUUUAAGCAUGAAACCACCGCGCCCAAAAUCUUGUGGUGCGUUUCCUCUUUUCUUCCCAAAAACAAAACAGGACCCCAUGUUUUCAUAAGGAUUUUUGGGAAUUCAAAGUUUAGUACAAAAACAGAAAUCAUGUUGAUGUUUGUUUGAAACGAAUGAGUUCUGGAAAUUCAGGUGAUUUCUUAGAGAGGUAACCAUACACCUAGAAAACCCAAAAAAAAAAAAAACACCAUGAAGUGACUUCAAAAGCUGAGUUUUAUUUGCAUGAAUAAGAAAUCACUCUGCAUACUCGCAUGAAAGCAAGGCUUACCGAUCCUAAAUGCGUGCAUUUGAGAUGAAGAAAGGCCAUCUUUGAUAAUCCUUUCACAAGGCUGAAAUAUAUCAUUUGCAGUCCCCUUUUGAGCCUAAUAAAUUUUUCUUAAAAAAUAACCUUGGCUAGGAUCAUACCCUACACUGGGGGGCAAGUGCAAAAAAAAAAUCCAUAAUGAUUGAAAGUGCCCAAAUAUCUCUUGGGGGCAUGAAAAAGUCUUCAACAAUGAAAGUGCCCAAACAAUACUAGAGGGCAUAAAAGAAAAUUUUCAAUCAUCAAAGGUGCCCGUACAAAGCUAGGGGGCAUAAAAAAAAUCUAAAUGAUCCAAAAUUCUGAGCAUAAAAAAAAGAAAGAAGAAGCUAAUUAAAUGAUGCUCAAAAUCAAAUGAAGAAAACAAAAACAAAGAGAAAGAGCCCGAGCCCAACACUAGGGGGCACCGUGGAUCAUUUUUACAAAUCAAUUCCAAGGUCCAGAAAUAUAUGAACAAAAGAGUUUGGGAUAUAAGCACUUGUGAUCCUUAGUCUUAAAGUCCCUUAAACACCUUUUGAGCCUAUAAAUAUCCUUUUCUUCAUAGCCAAUAGCCCAAGCCUACAUUACGUGCCUAAUCAAGCCCUUUCUGAUCAAAGGCAAGCAAUCUGGAUCGGUAGGCAGUGCUUUCUCAUGCGAAAUAAAAUCAUUAUUCAUGCAAAUAAAAUUAAUGCUUUGAAAAUGGUUCUCAAUAACCCUCAAAUUGAAAUUUAAACCUUUUGUGACCAACCAGAUGUCACUUCAUGUUCAUCAUAUUUUCGCCAACGGUUCUCAAUAACCCACAAAUUGAAAUUUCAACCUUUUGUGACCAACCAAAUGUCACUUCAUAUUUUUCACCAAAAAAAAAAAGUUUUCAUCACUUCUGAAAACCUCUCCAUAGGAAUCACUUGAAUUUCUUCAGAAUGAGUUCGUGUUGAAUCGAUGUCAAAAUGAUUUCUGUGUGUGGAAUAGCUUUGAAAUUCCAAAAAUUCUGCAUGAAAACAACUCCUUGUCAAACCUUCCUUCACAUAGCCUCAUCCCCAAACCCGAAUUGAAUGCUUGGGGGCAUGAUCAAGCUAGGGGGCAAUCAAAAACAUCUGGUAAAGCUGGCUCCGUGAUUCCCUUUCUAAGAAACAAUGGGGAAAAAUUAGCAACCCUUGAGAUAAAAAGGGCGGAGAACAAAGAAAUGAUGGCAUCAAGUCUUUCCUAGAGGCCAAGAUCGUAAGAUAUUUCUUGAGUAAGCAAGGGGGACAAAAGCCAUCAAAGCUUACUAUCAGAGACUUAAACUUUUAAGAAAAGGAGAACUCCAUGAAGAAAAGGGGACCUAUAUUUCUCAGGUAAGUAUACAUGCAUAUUGUUCAUGAUGCAUUGCUUUCAUCCUUGACAGAUCGGUGUCUCACCAUCACCUCUUUUUGAGCGGGUUGCUGGAUCCUAACCUUUUAGGUUGUGUGUUUUCCAACCCUACCUCCUUAUGAGGGCGUCUUUUAGCCCUCACCCCUUGGGUAAUGUGUUUUCUAACCAUACCUCCUUUUGAAUGUGCUUUAGAGCCUCCAGCCAUCUUAGGUAGUGUGUUUUCUGACCCUACCUCUCCUUUUAAGGGCGCCUUUGAGCCCUCACCACUUUAGGUAGUGCGUUUUCAAACCUUACCUCCUUUCGAAUAUAUCGUCGAUACCUCACCUCUCGGGUAGUGUGUUUUUCAACCCUACCUCCUUUAGAGUGCGCCUUCGAGCCCUAACCUCUUAGGUAGUGUGUUUUCCAAACCCUGCCUCUCUUUUUGAGAGCUCCUUCGAGCCCUCACCUCUUGUGUAAUGUGUUUUCCAAUCUUACCUCCUUUUUUAGUACGCCUUCGAGCCUUAACCCUUUAGGUAGUGCGUUUUCCAACCCUGCCUCUUUUUUAGCGCGCCUUCGAGCUAACAACCCCUUUAGGUAGUGUGUUUUAUGACCCUACCUCCCCUUUUGAGUGCGCCUUAGAGCCUUCAACCACUUUAGGUAGUGCGUUUCCCAACCUUACCUCCUUUCGUAUGCUCCUUCGAGCCCUCACCACUUUAGGUAGUGAGUUUUCCAACCCUACCUCCUUUUGAAUGCUCCUUUGAACCCUUACCCCUCAGGUAGUGCGUUUUCCCAACCUUGCCUCCUUUUGAGAGCUCCUUCGAGCCCUCACCUCUUGUGUGGUGUGCUUUCUAGCCCUUUUUGCCUUCUUUAGAGUGCGCCUUGGAGCACUCACCUCUUAGGUAGUGUGUUUUUCGAACCCUAUCUCCUUUCGAGUGCGCUCUUCAGCCCUCGUUCCCCAUCGAGUCCUAUCAUGUCGUCCCUUUGAGACAUUUUGCCUUUUCACCCGGGCAGGUCACCCAUUAUAAUCAGACUUCUUUCAAAACUCUUUUCAUCUUCCAUUUGGGCCGGUUGCCCAUAACAAUAAAACCACUUUGAAAAAUCUCUGCAUUUUUCACCACCUUGAAAAAUCUUUACAUUUUUCACCAAUUUUGAGAAAUCCUUGCAUUUCUCCCCACUCUCAAACUUUUUCACUUGGGCCGGUUGCCCAUCACAACAAGACCACUUUGAGAAAUCUUUGCAUUUCUCACCACUUUGAGAAAUCUUUGCAUUUCUCACCACUUUGAAAAAUCUCUGUAUUUUUCACCCCUUUGAAAAAUCUCUGCAUUUUUCACCACUUUGAGAAAUCUUUGUAUUUCUCACCACCUCCAAAAAUUUUCACCAUCUUGAAAAAUCUUUGCAUUUCUCACCUCUUUGAAAAAAUCUUUGUAUUUUUCAAAACCUUUCCAUCGGGCCGGUUGCCCAUUACAAUAAAACCACUUUGAAAAAUCUCUGCAUUUUUCACCACUUUGAGAAAUCUUUGUAUUUCUCACCACUUUGAAAAAUCUUUGCAUUUUUCAUCACUUUCCAUCUAGGCAAGUCGCCCAUCACAACAAGAUCAUUUUUUAGAAAUCUUCGCAUUUCUCACCACUUUGAAAAAUCUCUGCAUUUUUCGCCUCUUUGAAAAAAUCUUUGUAUUUUUCAAAACCUUUCAAUUGGGUCGUUUGCCCAUUACAACAAAACCACUUUGAAAAAUCUUUGCAUUUUUCAUCAUUUUGAGAAAUCUGUGCAUUUCUCACCACCUCUAAAAUUUUUCACCAUCUUGAGAAAUCUUUGCAUUUCUCACCACUUUGAAAAAUCUCUGCAUUUUUCACCUAUUUGAAAAAAUCUUUGUAUUUUUCAAAACCUUUCAUCUGGGCCGGUUGCCCAUAACAAUAAAACCAUUUUUAUAAAUCUUCGUAUUUCUCACCACUUUGAAAAAUCUCUGUAUUUUUCACCAUUUUGAGAAAUCUUCGCAUUUCUCACCACUUUGAAAAAUCUCUGUAUUUUUCACCACUUUAAAACAUCUUCGUGUUUUUCACCCGGGUAGGUCACCCAUGACAAUUCGACCAUUUCAAAAUCUUUGAAAAAAAAAAAAAAAAAAAAAAACAUCUUCCUUUUUUCUUCUUUACAACGCUUACUAUCUAAAGUCCCCUACGAGACUUGCUAUCGUAAGCAUUGUAAAGAGGGGGGCAACUGUCAUAACCCAAUUUUGGAUUAUUCCCUAAAUUUCACUUUUUUUAAAAUAAAAAAAAUAAAAAAUAAAAUAAAGGCUGGCACUGCGGAGAAAGCCAAUAAAAAAAAGACUGCAAAAAUAGGCAAAAAUCGAAGGUCAAAUUAAAUGCAUAUUCGAAGGUCAAAUCAAAUGAUUAUUGGAUGAAUUUGCAUAAAAAUUAAGUCCAAUGACAUAAUUAAAUUUUUAAUGGGCCAAUUUGAUUUAAUCAUGGGUCAAAUUAAAUUUUAAUUAUGUUUGAGAAUAAAUUUAGGUCCAAUUGAAGGAUUUAAUUAAGUGAAAGGACUUGAUUAUACUUUAAAUGGGUCAAAUUAAUUUGGGGGCUUAAUUGGUGAAAAAUUAAGUUUGGGAGCUUAAUUUGGACUGAUUUGAAAAGAUUGAAAUUUUAAGAGACCAAAUUUAAUUUUUACUAAGUGAAUUGAUUGAAAAAAUUGAGGGACCAAUUGUGAGACCCGAAAAAAAUGUCUUGCCUAUAAAUAGCAGCCUACAAAAAUCAGUAAAGGGGGGGGUUCAUUUUUGUAAUUUUGAAAGGAAAGUAAAAACCUAAAAAUCUAAACUUUUCUUCUUCCCUACUAAAAAAGCAGCCGCCAGGGAGACCCCCCCCUCUUUUGGGAAAUUUUUUCCUUCUUCUCCGAUAACAGCUGGAACCUCCCCCUUCGGAUUUUGCUUCUCCCCGGCUUGUUGCUUCCCCAAAACAGCAGCAACAUUGACAAACCAAAGAGCCCCGCUAGUUUUCAUUUUUGGGCUCCCUAAGCCGCUCCCCAGUUUUAAUUUUCUUCCUCCCCAGCCCUUGCACAGCCACCUGCACACAGAGCCGCUCUCACUUCUCCUCCAAAAAAAAGGCUACGGCGAAUCCCCCUUUGCCUUGACAAAGCAAGUCAAGCCAUCACCAUUUCCACAUUUUCUCUCAUCUUCAAAGCCGAAACCAGAGAAGCCAAGGCAGCCCUCUUCCCGUCUCCUUAGUCUUCCUCUCGGCUAAAAAGCCAAAAUCAGCUGAAACCCCACACAUCCAUCUCCUUUCCUGCGAACCAACCUCCCUU
rnacentral:lncRNA from 1 species